rnacentral:rRNA from 1 species
GACGAACGCUGGCGGCGUGCCUAAUACAUGCAAGUUGAGCGAGGAAGUCUGGUGCAUUCGCCAAUGUGAAGGUCAGCGAACGGGUGAUUAACUCGGGUUGAGUCUACCUUUGAGCGGGGGACAACAUUUGGAGACGAUUGCUAAGACCGCAUAACAACUUUAAACAUAAUUUUUACGUUUUGAAUAUACAAUUUUAUCACCUAAAGAUGGUCCCACGUGGUAUUAGCUAGUUGGUGUGAUAAAGGCCCACGAAGGCGACGAUACAUAGCUGGUCUGAGAGGAUGAUCAGCCACACUGGGACUGAGACACGGCGCAGACUCCUACGAGAGGCAGCAGUGGGGAAUAUUGGACGAUGGGCGAGAGCCUGAUCCAGCAAUGCCGCGUGAGUGAUGAAGGCCUGAGGAUUGUAGAGCUCUUUUACCCGGGAUGAUAAUGACAGUACCGGGAGAAAAAGCUCCGGCUAACUCCGUG